GCUCGCGUAGUCUAGUGGGAGGACUCAGCCCUGCCACGGCUGGAACCCGGGUUCAAAUCCCGGCGCGUGCACCA
rnacentral:tRNA from 1 species